AUACAUGCAGUCGAGCGAGCUGAAUUCAAAGAUCCCUUCGGGGUGAUUUGUUGGACGCUAGCGGCGGAUGGGUGAGUAACACGUGGGCAAUCUGCCCUAAAGACUGGGAUACCACUUGGAAACAGGUGCUAAUACCGGAUAACAACAUGAAUCGCAUGAUUCAAGUUUGAAAGGCGGCGCAAGCUGUCACUUUAGGAUGAGCCCGCGGCGCAUUAGCUAGUUGGUGGGGUAAAGGCCUACCAAGGCAAUGAUGCGUAGCCGAGUUGAGAGACUGAUCGGCCACAUUGGGACUGAGACACGGCCCAAACUCCUACGGGAGGCAGCAGUAGGGAAUCUUCCACAAUGGACGCAAGUCUGAUGGAGCAACGCCGCGUGAGUGAAGAAGGUUUUCGGAUCGUAAAGCUCUGUUGUUGGUGAAGAAGGAUAGAGGCAGUAACUGGUCUUUAUUUGACGGUAAUCAACCAGAAAGUCACGGCUAACUACGUGCCAGCAGCCGCGGUAAUACGUAGGUGGCAAGCGUUGUCCGGAUUUAUUGGGCGUAAAGCGAGCGCAGGCGGAAUGAUAAGUCUGAUGUGAAAGCCCACGGCUCAACCGUGGAACUGCAUCGGAAACUGUCAUUCUUGAGUGCAGAAGAGGAGAGUGGAAUUCCAUGUGUAGCGGUGGAAUGCGUAGAUAUAUGGAAGAACACCAGUGGCGAAGGCGGCUCUCUGGUCUGCAACUGACGCUGAGGCUCGAAAGCAUGGGUAGCGAACAGGAUUAGAUACCCUGGUAGUCCAUGCCGUAAACGAUGAGCGCUAGGUGUUGGGGACUUUCCGGUCCUCAGUGCCGCAGCAAACGCAUUAAGCGCUCCGCCUGGGGAGUACGACCGCAAGGUUGAAACUCAAAGGAAUUGACGGGGGCCCGCACAAGCGGUGGAGCAUGUGGUUUAAUUCGAAGCAACGCGAAGAACCUUACCAGGUCUUGACAUCCUGUGCUACACCUAGAGAUAGGUGGUUCCCUUCGGGGACGCAGAGACAGGUGGUGCAUGGCUGUCGUCAGCUCGUGUCGUGAGAUGUUGGGUUAUUCCCGCACGAGCGCACCCUUGUCUUUAUUGCCAUCAUUAA
rnacentral:rRNA from 1 species